GUGCCAGCCGCUGCGGUAAUACCGGCAGCCCAAGUGAUGGCCGCUGUUAUUGGGCCUAAAGCGUCCGUAGCUGGCUGCGCAAGUCCGUCGGGAAAUCCACCCGCUCAACGAGUGGGCGUCCGGCGGAAACUGCACAGCUUGGGACCGGAAGGCUCGAAGGGUACGUUCGGGGUAGGAGUGAAAUCCCGUAAUCCCGGACGGACUACCGAUGGCGAAAGCACUCUGAGAAGACGGCUUCUACAGUGAGGGACGAAAGCUCGGGUCUCAAACCGGAUUAGAAACCCCUGUAGUCC
rnacentral:rRNA from 1 species